CAUUCCUUUGUCUUGUAAGAGAGGUUGCUAGACAGAAGGUUUUUGAAGCUUGGCUAUCUUCUCAACACUCUCUUUUCCGGCCAUCAUAGAUCACCUUGAGCUAUAAUCUUGGAUUUCUUUUGAAUUUAGGAGAUCACCAAAUCAGGAGCAGUAGACCCAGGGAUCUUAGAAGGCUUCCAGUAGAUGUCUUCUUUGGGAUUUAGGUCUUAAUGCUUAUGUCUUUGCAUCAGUUGUAUUAUUGUUUAAGAACCUCCUUGUAGGUCAU